GCCGGGCGCAGUGGCGCGCGCCUGUAAUCCCAGCGGCUCAGGAGGCUAAGGCGGGAGGAUCGCGCAUUCAAAGCCACCCUCAGCAACUUAGUGAGGCCCUAAGCAACUCAGUGAGACUCUGUCUUUA
rnacentral:sRNA from 1 species